UAUAAGGAAAUUCCAUGGCUUUUGAAAAAAACCCCAAAUUACAAGUAUUCAUCUUACUGAGAGCUCUAUAUAGAACUACCAAGUCCCAAACCACCAAAUCCAAGGAUGCUUCAUUUGUUAGAAAAACAAGGGAAUUGUUUUUAUGAAGCUGGUCUUGAUCUACAAUUCGGUUUUUUAUAGGCUACUGUCUAGGGAUCCCCCGUGCCUCAUCUUUGAUGUUUGGGAGUAAUUUCUGCCUCUUUGUGGAAGUAAAGCAAAAACAAGCAUUUUUCAAAAACUGAAGUCAAUCAAAGGAGUAGUAGCAAUAAAGAGGAAGAUUGUUAUCAUGGGGUGAAGAUGAGGCAAUGCCAAGUAUAGUGCCGCGUACAGAGCCUGGAGCAAGGUAUUUCCAGCCUUGUUUUGCAACCGAUAAAAAUGAGACUCAGAGGUGAACAAACGCAGGCUCCGGGAUGCCAAGUGACUUCAUAUCAACAUCACCCAGCAGAUUAAGGGAACUGGGCCCAGACUCCUAGGCUCCUGACUACCCAGUCCUGUGCCCAUUCUAGUGGCCACUAUACUCACCCACUGGUUGUAGCCAUAUCUGGCUUAGGCUGGCAACACUUUUGAAGCAAGGAUGAUGCUUUCUUUCUUUUGCCCAAGACCAUUCUUCAUAUAAUAAGACAAUUAACAGAUUGUGGGUUUGAUUUAUAUGUAUGGUGAACUAACACUGGAAUGUAUCUGAAAGAUUGAGGCAGGAGAGGUAGUCAAGGAAGUAACCACGUCUUUCAGACGUGGCAACCGUGAUGACCACCAACACAAUAAGCCCUGGUGUUGACACUGUAGUCAAGCUCAUUCAAGCAAAGCUAUUUUCAGUAGGGAAUUUCCUCUGUAGAGAGCAUGCACAUUUUGAUUUUACCUGUCCUCAAACUGACCCUUUGCUCAUUAUAAUACUAAUAUAAAAAAUACUAAUAUUAAAAAAACCCCUGGGUGGAGAUUUAAGACGUUAAUGAGACAUGCGACCUAUGAAUAAGCAUGUACAGCUACUGCACAUGUGCAUCCAGAGGACCACCCACAAUAUGCUUACUAGUAACAUCUCCUUCCACACCCUUAUGAAUAAUCAUGUAAGAUUCCCAUAAGGGUAGUCUCCCUAGGGCCAGUCCAUGCUUUCUCUUCUUUAUGAGCAGCCUGCCAUGAAUCCUCUCUCAGGGUGCACUGUCUAUUCUGCACCCAGCUUUUAGAAUAUUCUUUCUCUUUUGCAAUAAAUUGCUCUAUGCUGCAGCUCCUUUGCUGUGUGUCUCUUCUUUAAGUUCUUUUAAACUAAUAAGACAAGAACUGAGGUCUCACAACAGCCAUCAACAAGAUUGUUGAAAUUCUGGAAGAGUGAUUUUCCCCAUGGGUAAUACAUUAUUCUUUUUAUUAUUUCAA
rnacentral:lncRNA from 1 species